rnacentral:rRNA from 1 species
ACGGGUGAGUAAUGUCUGGGAAACUGCCUGAUGGAGGGGGAUAACUACUGGAAACGGUAGCUAAUACCGCAUAACGUCGCAAGACCAAAGAGGGGGACCUUCGGGCCUCUUGCCAUCGGAUGUGCCCAGAUGGGAUUAGCUAGUAGGUGGGGUAACGGCUCACCUAGGCGACGAUCCCUAGCUGGUCUGAGAGGAUGACCAGCCACACUGGAACUGAGACACGGUCCAGACUCCUACGGGAGGCAGCAGUGGGGAAUAUUGCACAAUGGGCGCAAGCCUGAUGCAGCCAUGCCGCGUGUAUGAAGAAGGCCUUCGGGUUGUAAAGUACUUUCAGCGGGGAGGAAGGGAGUAAAGUUAAUACCUUUGCUCAUUGACGUUACCCGCAGAAGAAGCACCGGCUAACUCCGUGCCAGCAGCCGCGGUAAUACGGAGGGUGCAAGCGUUAAUCGGAAUUACUGGGCGUAAAGCGCACGCAGGCGGUUUGUUAAGUCAGAUGUGAAAUCCCCGGGCUCAACCUGGGAACUGCAUCUGAUACUGGCAAGCUUGAGUCUCGUAGAGGGGGGUAGAAUUCCAGGUGUAGCGGUGAAAUGCGUAGAGAUCUGGAGGAAUACCGGUGGCGAAGGCGGCCCCCUGGACCAAGACUGACCCUCAGGUGC